rnacentral:rRNA from 1 species
AACGAACGCUGGCGGCAGGCUUAACACAUGCAAGUCGAACGGGCGCAGCAAUGCGUCAGUGGCAGACGGGUGAGUAACACGUGGGAACCUUCCUUAAGGUACGGGACAACUCAGGGAAACUUGAGCUAAUACCGUAUACGUCCGAGAGGAGAAAGAUUUAUCGCCUUUAGACGGGCCCGCGUCGGAUUAGCUAGUUGGUGGGGUAACGGCCUACCAAGGCGACGAUCCGUAGCUGAUCUGAGAGGAUGAUCAGCCACACUGGGACUGAGACACGGCCCAGACUCCUACGGGAGGCAGCAGUGGGGAAUCUUGGACAAUGGGGGAAACCCUGAUCCAGCCAUGCCGCGUGAGUGAAGAAGGCCUUAGGGUUGUAAAGCUCUUUUGCCAGGGACGAUAAUGACGGUACCUGG